GAGGUGUCUCUCUCUUGUUCCCACCUAUUUUAACUUUUAUGUUAGUCUCUUUUUCUGUUUUCUCUAGGCUGCUCCUCUUUUCUCACUGCUUCUCCUUAGAGUGUUUAUUUUAGAGAGCUUUUACUGAGAGCAGAAUGAAGAGUGCUCCUUGGUGCUUAUGAUUUUCAGGGCAGAUGGCCCUAUAUACAUGGAAAACUGGCCAGGAAACAUAAUGAGCUCCAAAGCUAACUAAAUGCUAGUAGAGAAAAUCAGUGAGGGUGUUUCUCCAAGCUCGGCCAGAAUUAGAGGCCACUGAAUCAUAGGAAAGCACUUCUCUCCUUUGAAAGGCCACGUUCACCCUGGUUAGCAGGUUGGAUAGACCUUGGCAGACAAUGAGAUGGGACCUAGUCUUGCUGAAUUUGGAACUGGGUUCUCAUCUGAAAUAUGAGCAACAGCAUAGCCAAACAAUCAUUUUUUCAUAUUUCUUUAAAAGUUAAAUCUCUGCCUUGUAGCAGUCUAAAAUGUUUGACUGGUUUUUCUUCCUUUCUGGUUUUAUGCUGACCAUGAACCUCAUGAGAAAACUUGCUCCUGUGCAUUCCAGUGGUUUAAGUAAGCAACUAUUUUUUUAAAGUCUUUUGAGGUCAGAGUAAGAAUUCCAAGUCUUUUGAGGUUCUACCUCUAAAAGGCAAUUUUUAAAGAGAAGAAAAUUCAUAUUUGAAUUUUGUCUUCAGAUUCUGCUUCAGUAAGUCUCCAAGUUCAAGGCUGAGGCCCACAUUAAGGGUUUUAAAUACCUUUCUUGGCUAAAAAGGAAUUAUGCAAAGAUAUUAAUUUAUUACCUUCCAGAUCUGGGCUGUAUAUGUGUUCACACUGAUGACUGUUUACUUUACUAGAUACAAAUAAAGUGGUUUUUGUUUACUGUGUUCCUCUUCUUGUAUUCCUGCUGCUCUUGACAUACCUCUAGAGGAACAUGCUGGAUUUCACUCUUGUUCUCGUCUCAUCAGCAGGAUCAGCAAUUGAGUUUGUACAGUUGCUCUGCAGAGCACACCUUCUCAUCCUGACUGUGGUACCCCUGUGCUGUGACACCUGUUGCACAGUGCAUUUCUGCCUGCUUGAAGGAUGUACACUACCCCCAGGUUCUGGAGAUAUCAGAGAAGAACCUUUGGGUUGAGCAUUCAGAGAAGAUGGAAGAAAGAAACAAAGAGGUAGGACAGGAAAAUUUAAAUAUUCCAUUAUAUGCUGGGGUCCUUUCUUCUGCCUGUCUGACUUUUUGCUGAGCAACAUGGAGUCCUGCUGCUCUGGAAAGCAAACAGAGGUGAAACCCAGACAGAGGAUAAAGUUGUGCAGUGUUGUAAUAGUGCAGAGGUGAUUGGACACAUCCAAAAGGAAGUACGACACUUCAGCAUUAAAUUUUAAAUGUAACUUUUGUUUUGCAACAUAUAUUGAAAAUUUUAGUUUUUUUAAUCUUUAUUUUGUAUAGCCACAAGUAUCAGAACUUUGAGGUUUCACAAAAAAUGGAAAACCUUCUGUUCAGCUCCACUUGUCUUGUGCAAGGUGACUUCAUUAUGAUUUCAGAUACGUCACAGCUAAGGAAUAACUCCUUACUAGUGUAGAUGAACAUGUGUAGGAAGAGAAUGUUAUUGGUGUACUCCUACUGCAAGCAAAACACUUUGAACAUACUAGCUUCAGCUGUAGUUGCCUUUUAAAUUGCUUUUGUCACCUAGAAGGUCAAUGUAGAAGGAGAUUUUACAGAAAAGAGUGAAAAAGGGGGCAAUAAAACGAUACUGAAAGCAAAGAAG
rnacentral:lncRNA from 13 species